rfam:Aureobasidium namibiae CBS 147.97 unplaced genomic scaffold scaffold_1, whole genome shotgun sequence.
GGUCGGUUAGCUCAGUUGGUUAGAGCGUGGUGCUAAUAUCUCCCGAUACACGGCACGCCAAGGUCGCGGGUUCGACCCCCGUACUGACCA